GGCCGCAUCGCUCAGAAACUCCGGUUCCCAUAUAACCACCGAAGAUAAGCAACGUCGAGACUGAUCAGUACCUAGAUGGGUCACCGCUUGGGAAUACUAGGUGAUGUAAG